rnacentral:rRNA from 1 species
GGGACGAACGCUGGCGGCGUGCCUAACACAUGCAAGUCGAACGGGACCAGGGGCAACUCUGGUUCAGUGGCGGACGGGUGCGUAACACGUGAGGAACAUGACUUUCGGCGGGGGAUAGCCGGCCCAACGGCCGGGUAAUACCGCGUACGACCUCUCGGGGACAUCCCCGGUUGGUGAAAGCAGCAAUGCACCGAAAGAGUGCCUCGCGGCCUAUCAGCUAGUUGGUGAGGUAACGGCUCACCAAGGCGACGACGGGUAGC